rnacentral:lncRNA from 1 species
UUUUUUUUUUUGCUUUUUACGGCCACACCUGCAGCAUAUGGAAAUUCCCGACUCACUGAGUGAGGUCAGGGAUCGAACUGGCAUCCUCAUGGAUACUAGUCAGGUUUGUUUCCACUGUGCCACAAUGGGAACUCCUCUUUUUUUUUUGUCUUUUGUCCUUUUAAGGGUGCAUCCGCGGCAUAUGGAGGUUCCCAGGCUAGGGGUCUAAUCGGAGCUACAGCUACCAGCCUACACCACAGCCACAGCAACGCCAGAUCCAAGCUGUGUCUGCGACCUACACCACAGCUCAUAGCAACGCCGGAUCCUUAACCCACUGAGUGAGGCCAGGGAUGGAACCUGCAACUCAUGGUUCCUAGUUGGAUUCGUUUCUGCUGAGCCACGGUGGGAACUCUGGAACUCCUCUUUUAAUUUGCUUUUAAUGUUUGGUGGAUCAUUGGUGAUUACAUGCUUGACGACAUCACUCAAGAUUGAGUUUGGCCAGCAGGAUGCACAAAAGGUGGCAGUAACUCAAGUUUUCUCCCCAUUUUCACCUUUUAGGCUGCUCUAGUAUUACUUGCUUUGUUAAUAAGGUGAAUACUCUGCUGUGAUCUUCUGAUUUGCCACAUCUGUGUGCUACACUGUAUCCGCCCUCUCUGAAAGCCGUGCUUCCAAAUUGAGAUAAUGAUCCUGCAAUAGGUUCCUUUUCCCUGAACUUUUUGUUCACUUAUCUGUAGGCUUUGGAAACUUCAUAGAUAUUAACAGUAUUGCUUAGGACCAGCCGUGUGCUGAUAAAUGCAGAAUAACCAGCUCUCCCGAGGGGAUUAAAAAAAAAAAAAAAAAAAAGCUCACAGAGUUGUAAUGUCUGCCCAUUUCCAUGGUGUAAAUGGCUGACUUCCAGCCACCAAUGGUUUAACAAGUGUCUCUGAAAAGUCCUGAAAAUUUACCAGUUGGCUCUCUGCCAGGGGCUCCAGACACCAUCUCUGAGAUCCAUUAUAUGACUUUAAAGACCGUAAAAAGCUUUAUAAGAGAGUUUUCAUUUCUGAUUUAUAGAGUAACUCUUUGGUGUGAGUAGUAGUUUCUCAAAGAACCUCAGUGCCUGGGAAUAGCCCUGUGGCUGUACUUAGGCAAAGUGGGGCUGGCAUUCUGCAUUGAAGCUUAUUAGCAUUUUUGGUAUCCUUGUCACUUAUGGCAGCUGUUUCCCAUUGGGAAGACUCCCUGAAUGGUGUCAUUUUUGAAUUCUAGAGAGGUGGACUCAGGAGAUGACCUAUUGGCUUGCCAUUGCUUUAGUAGAUUAUUCAUUUUUAGUUAUUUGAGAAUAUCUUUCAAUAGGCUAUUUAUAAAAAAAGCUCGGAGAAUUUUUUCCCUCUGAUGUCUGGGUGUCAUUUUUAUCUUCAGAUAGAGCAUUGGGGGUAUGUGGCUUUCUAACAUUUUCUCACUUAAGAGCAGUAUUUAGGCAGCCCUUAUUUCAUGUUAUAGAAGCAGAAUCAGAAGAACUUCAAGGAGUUUCCUGGUGGCUCAGCGGGUUAAGGAUCUGGUGCUGUCACUGCUGUGGCUAGGGUCACUGCUGUGGGGUGGUUUCGGAUCCCUGGCCCCGGAAUGUCUGCAGGCCACAGGUGCAGCCAAAAAAGAACUUCUUCACUUUUCUUUUCUUAUAGAAGAUUUAAUGAAUGUCUCUAAGCCAUUUCGAGGGACCUGGGAAGCUUUGGGCCUUCUUUGUUGCAUUUGGAAAAGCAUUGGUUUGGCCAUAUUUUCACAUCAGGAAUGUAGUCACCUCAAAAUGCCUUGCAAUGCAGAAUGAUGGUGG